UACGUAGGGUGCGAGCGUUAAUCGGGAUUACUGGGCGUAAAGCGUGCGCAGGCGGUUUUGUAAGCCAGGUGUGAAAUCCCCGGGCUCAACCUGGGAAUUGCGAUGGAGACUGCAAGGCUAGAAUCUGGCAGAGGGGGGUAGAAUUCCACGUGUAGCAGUGAAAUGCGUAGAGAUGUGGAGGAACACCGAUGGCGAAGGCAGCCCCCUGGGUCAAGAUUGACGCUCAUGCACGAAAGCGUGGGGAGCAAACAGG
rnacentral:rRNA from 1 species